rnacentral:rRNA from 1 species
CAGUCGCCGCGGUAAUACGUAGGGUGCGAGCGUUAAUCGGAAUUACUGGGCGUAAAGCGUGCGCAGGCGGUUGUGUAAGACAGGUGUGAAAUCCCCGGGCUUAACCUGGGAACUGCGCUUGUGACUGCACAGCUAGAGUAUGGCAGAGGGGGGUGGAAUUCCACGUGUAGCAGUGAAAUGCGUAGAGAUGUGGAGGAACACCGAUGGCGAAGGCAGCCCCCUGGGCCAACACUGACGCUCAUGCACGAAAGCGUGGGGAGCAAACAGGAUUAGAUACCCCCGUAGUCCCUGUCUCUUAUAA